GCGAUAUCGACGUAAUCAUUGCGGAAAUGGACAAGAAUCCCAGUGUUGAAGUACGACGGACUGAAAUGAAAAGCCUGGCAGCCUUAUUAAGGAGCACUGAGCACUGAGAUGAGAGAGGCUAUCGAGGAUAUUGGUAUUGAUGCAAUGACGGAAAUGGAGAAACUGGCUUUGGGUCUCUAUGUUGUUCGACAUGAUGGAGCAGAUGCUACAGAUCCACCUGAGGAUGUUGGCAUCGUCAUUGAAGGCUGCACAGUGCUGCGAGAUCUGAGAGAGGUUACAAAUGGAUGUGCAGUCCUGUUUGGCUUGAUCUACUG